rnacentral:snoRNA from 1 species
CCCAUCGGCGAAGAUGAACUCAUCUCCUUCAUCAUGGCCAGUAUCGACAUGGAACAUCAGCCCAUCACCUCUGCUCUUGAUGUGCGCGUCGAUUCUGUCUCCACCGAUGAGCUCUUUGGCAUGAUCUCCAACUUCGAUC